CUGCAGCUCAAGUGGUGGCCGCUAUUAUUGGGCCUAAAACGUCCGUAGCCGGUUUAGUAAAUGCCUGGGUAAAUCGUGUAGCUUAACUAUACGACUUCCGGGUAGACUGCUAGACUUGGGACCGGGAGAGGCUAGAGGUACUCCUGGGGUAGAGGUGAAAUUCUGUAAUCCUAGGUGGACCACCAGUGGCGAAGGUGUCUAGCUAGAACGGGUCUGACGGUGAGGGACGAAGCCCUGGGGCGCAAACCGGAUUAGAUACCCGAGUAGUCC
rnacentral:rRNA from 1 species